rnacentral:rRNA from 1 species
UAGGGAAUCUUCGGCAAUGGACGAAAGUCUGACCGAGCAACGCCGCGUGAGUGAAGAAGGUUUUCGGAUCGUAAAACUCUGUUGUUAGAGAAGAACAAGGACGUUAGUAACUGAACGUCCCCUGACGGUAUCUAACCAGAAAGCUACGGCUAACUACGUGCCAGCAGCCGCGGUAAUACGUAGGUGGCAAGCGUUGUCCGGAUUUAUUGGGCGUAAAGCGAGCGCAGGCGGUUUCUUAAGUCUGAUGUGAAAGGCCCCGGCUCAACCGGGGAGGGUGAUUGGAAACUGGGAGACUUGAGUGCAGAAGAGGAGAGUGGAAUUCCAUGUGUAGCGGUGAAAUGCGUAGAUAUAUGGAGGAACACCAGUGGCGAAGGCGGCUCUCUGGUCUGUAACUGACGCUGAGGCUCGAAAGCGUGGGGAGCAAACAGG